GAUGAACGCCGGCGGUGUGCCUAAUACAUGCAAGUCGUACGCACUGGCCCGACUGAUUGAUGGUGCUUGCACCUGAUUGACGAUGGAUCACCAGUGAGUGGCGGACGGGUGAGUAACACGUAGGUAACCUGCCCCGGAGCGGGGGAUAACAUUUGGAAACAGAUGCUAAUACCGCAUAACAACAAAAGCCACAUGGCUUUUCUUUGAAAGAUGGCUUUGGCUAUCACUCUGGGAUGGACCUGCGGUGCAGUAGCUAGUUGGUAAGGUAACGGCUUACCAAGGCGAUGAUGCAUAGCCGAGUUGAGAGACUGAUCGGCCACAAUGGAACUGAGACACGGUCCAU
rnacentral:rRNA from 1 species